rnacentral:piRNA from 1 species
UCCAAAGUUGGUCCAGGAUGUCU